GACGAACGCUGGCGGCGUGCUUAACACAUGCAAGUCGAACGGAAAGGCCCUGCUUUUGUGGGGUGCUCGAGUGGCGAACGGGUGAGUAACACGUGAGUAACCUGCCCUUGACUUUGGGAUAACUUCAGGAAACUGGGGCUAAUACCGGAUAGGAGCUCCUGCUGCAUGGUGGGGGUGGGAAAGUUUCGGCGGUUGGGGAUGGACUCGCGGCUUAUCAGCUUGUUGGUGGGGUAGUGGCUUACCAAGGCUUUGACGGGUAGCCGGCCUGAGAGGGUGACCGGCCACAUUGGGACUGAGAUACGGCCCAGACUCCUACGGGAGGCAGCAGUGGGGAAUAUUGCACAAUGGGCGGAAGCCUGAUGCAGCGACGCCGCGUGCGGGAUGACGGCCUUCGGGUUGUAAACCGCUUUCGCCUGGGACGAAGCGUGAGUGACGGUAAUGGGUAAAGAAGCACCGGCUAACUACGUG
rnacentral:rRNA from 1 species